AGUUUUGUGCAAUAGCAGUAUUGUAGCCAGUGAGGUUAAUCCCAGAAGUGAUUAUUGCUAACUGAAAAAGUUUCCCGAUGCCCCGCCAGGGUGACUUGAAAUAUAGUCUUAAAAAAAUUGUGACCUAGCUAUGCAGCA
rnacentral:snRNA from 1 species